rnacentral:rRNA from 1 species
CGGACAGUGCCUGGUGGGUAGUUUGGCUGGGGCUCUCUCCUCCGAAAGAGUAAGGGAUGAGCACGAAGGUGGGCUAAUCACGGUUGGACAUCGGGAGGUUAGUGCAAUGGCAUAAGGCCGCUUGACUGCGAGAAUGACAAUUCGAGCAGGUGCGAAAGCAGGUCAUAGUGGUCCGGUGGUUCUGAACGGAAGGGACAUCGCUCAACGGAUAAAAGGUACUC